CUUAGUAAGGCUAUCUAGCCGAUUGUAUAGACUAACAUAGAUGUUUAGUCUAGAGAGUACAGAGCUCAGAGUCAGUUCAAAUAAAAUAUUUAACUAAAAUGCUCCUCAAUUUCUCAAUUCUUCCCGGACAAGCAUCAUCCAGUUGAAUCGAACCCUAAUCCGAAUCAGCAUCAAUAGAACCCAUAAAUUGGUUUCUCAUGGAGUCGGGAAAAGACACAUAUAGUAUUUGCAGACAACGAGAAACGGUCAACAGUUAUUUGCGAGCUCUGAUUUUGAUUCAUUCUAAAUAAAAGUUGAGAUUGAUCAGAAAGAGCUAUUCUUCGAGCUGUAAUCUGUUAGAUCAGAUGCUUACCAAGCCUGUGCCGUCGCUCUUUACAAUCUAAAGCAAGCCUCUUCAAAGCUCUGGGAGAAUGUGGGGAUCUGACAAUAGUUUUUAAUUCGCGUAUUAGCUGCCGUAUAAUUUGAAGGACUCUACUUGUUAGACCUGUCAUUGUCCUUACUAUGUAUUGGCAUGACUGCAGAAUUGCCAAAAAUAUACUGUUCCAUUCCA